rnacentral:rRNA from 1 species
CCUACGGGAGGCUGCAGUGGGGAAUAUUGGACAAUGGGGGCAACCCUGAUCCAGCCAUGCCGCGUGUGUGAAGAAGGCCCUCGGGUUGUAAAGCACUUUCAGUGAGGAAGAACGCCUGGUGGUUAAUACCCAUCAGGAAAGACAUCACUCACAGAAGAAGCACCGGCUAACUCCGUGCCAGCAGCCGCGGUAAUACGGAGGGUGCGAGCGUUAAUCGGAAUUACUGGGCGUAAAGCGCGCGUAGGUGGCUUGAUAAGCCGGUUGUGAAAGCCCCGGGCUCAACCUGGGAACGGCAUCCGGAACUGUCAAGCUAGAGUGCAGGAGAGGAAGGUAGAAUUCCCGGGGUAGCGGUGAAAUGCGUAGAGAUCGGGAGGAAUACCAGUGGCGAAGGCGGCCUUCUGGACUGACACUGACACUGAGGUGCGAAAGCGUGGGUAGCAAACAGGAUUAGAUACCCUGUAGUC